AAAACAUACAUUUUAUGACUUCGGGGUGGUUUUUUUUUUCUCCAUAGAAUAAUAUACUAGUAGGUACUACAACAGUAUCCGAACGAGCUGUUAUAAAUUAGGCGGUCAAUAAUAAAAUAUGUUUGUGUGAAAAUUGUAUAGAUUUGUGUAUGCCUAAUGAAGAAACAAUAAGGUGUGUUAUUAUUUUCGGUGUAUAAACCAAUGUCACAUGUACAUUAAAUACCGACCGUUUUGUUUACGCGAGAUUUAGAAGUUGAAUAAUUCCAAAUGGAAUGACAAUAGAAACACUACGUUACGUACUGGGAAAUAUUCCUAAAUUCCUAAAGCACAUUUUAAUUCGCAGUAAAGUGUUGUUGCGG